rnacentral:lncRNA from 1 species
GGUCACUUAAAUCAUAACAUAAAAAUUAAACAAGUAUUUACUCCUGAAACAUGUCAUCCAAUCAUUUGCUCGAAUUCGGACCCAUACCUAUUGGGACAUUAAUUAAAAACAAUAUUUAUGAAAGAAUUAUGAAGGCAGUUAAGCCCUUAUUUGCAUGCAUUGGCAAAUAUAUGAAAAAAAAAAAAGCUUUAGUCGUCAGCAAUUUAAGCUUUAAAAGUAUAUGAAACAGUCUUAGCUUGUUGAUGUAAUAUCGGUUCCUUCAUUGCUUGUAUGAUUGGGAAAUUUUUAAAUUCACUCCACUAUCAUUUGCAGAACGCGCUGAUCUUUCUUGAAGACUCUGUAAAUUUGUUCCAGUAAUUUAAUUACACCAUACAAAUACUAGCCACUUGAAUAUGUCAACUUGACUUCAGACACUAGAGUCCUCCUUUGCAAACACACUUUAUAAAAUUGCCUUCACAAGUUAUAAAUUUAGAUAUGAUUCUAAACAAAGGUGCUACCAAAUAGAGUUGUAUAUAAAUCUAAUUAAAUAAGCGAUUUAUUGUGCGUGGACGCACAUCUCUAAUGAACCUUUGUACAUAAAUAAUUUAAAUUUUUAGAUCAAACAAUUGUCUGAGGGAAAAUUUUCCGCCAGCCCUUGAGCCAUGUUUGUGGAGAAAAAGCAUUUUGAGCGUAAUCAGAAAAUAUUUUCUAAAAACUCCGGUUUGUGAAAUAGUUUAAUAGAUUUGAAAAAUGCCUUUUUGGUUUUAAAAAGCUUUCCCAGAACAAUCCUUUUAUCUUUUCUUUGGUAUCACAGAUGUACGUGCCAUCGACAUGCCAUGAAUGGCUUUACACUGAAUGAUAUCUGGCAUCUGUGCAAUACUAGAAGUAAUGCAAAUUUGCAAAUUCACAUGCUUUUGCCUAGCUAGCUACAAAUAUUUGAAGAGACGAUUCAUCAUUGUAAAUUUACUCAUAUCUUGCAUGCAAUAAAUUGCCUUCGUGGGGCUGUUUCUACUGAAAAAUUACAGCAAUUUACAAGGCACCGUACAGUCUGUGAAUAUGGUGGCUAUUGGCUGAGCUGCUCCAUAUAUAUAAGACAUCUAGAGUAUGGACAUGGGGUUGGUUUUGUCAGAUAAAUCGUUUCGCUGAAAGGAAAAAUUAAAUUAAAUCAAUUUCUUUUUUUUUUUUUCAAGCAAAGAAAU